CACGUCAAAGCGGCGUAGACAAAGGGCGGGCGCGCGCACGUCUUUACGCACGCCUUGGCCGGCGGCGGCGGCCAAGGGCGGGAGGGAUCGUUCACGGAGGGACUGGGAGACCCGGAGCCUCGCGGUCGCUUUGGCAGCAUGUAAGCAACUUCUUGCCAAGAACCCAGGUCACUGCUGAGAAGGGGGCCUCAGGGAGAAGAAUAUCCAGAGGAAACCAAUGCCAGACGCGUCUGGAGUUGCACUCCGCGCAAGCAGCAUGAGACAUUCCGUGCCAGCAUCUGUGUCCUGCUGGCCAAGACUGUAGCUCUCCAGGUUGGAGGGUCCUGGACGCAGCACGCACCAGGAGUCUCUCCAGAGGAAGAAUGGGGCCAGAUAUGAACUUCCUACAAUGAACACAAUUUUCAGCUUAUGAAGGAGUUUUAAGUAAAACAAUUAUUUAAUUUCCACAUAUUCAAGUU